UACGUAAGGUGCAAGCGUUGUCCGGAAUUAUUGGGCGUAAAGAGCUCGUAGGCGGUCUGUCACGUCGGCUGUGAAAACCCGAGGCUCAACCUCGGGCCUGCAGUCGAUACGGGCAGACUAGAGUUCGGUAGGGGAGACUGGAAUUCCUGGUGUAGCGGUGAAAUGCGCAGAUAUCAGGAGGAACACCGGUGGCGAAGGCGGGUCUCUGGGGCCGAUACUGACGCUGAGGAGCGAAAGCGUGGGGGAGCGAACAGGA
rnacentral:rRNA from 1 species